rnacentral:hammerhead_ribozyme from 1 species
NNCCAGAUGAAGAGUCCCAAAUAGAACGAAACGUGUGUCCUGGAU